GCAGGAAAAACGCAAUACGCCGUAUCAUUCGUAAUGAUGAGGUCGUAGGUUCGAUUCCUAUUUCCGGCACCA
rnacentral:tRNA from 1 species